CCUACGGGUGGCAGCAGUGAGGAAUAUUGGUCAAUGGACGAGAGUCUGAACCAGCCAAGUAGCGUGAAGGAUGACUGCCCUAUGGGUUGUAAACUUCUUUUAUAUGGGAAUAAAACAUGGUAUGCAUACCCUCUUGUAUGUACCAUAUGAAUAAGGAUCGGCUAACUCCGUGCCAGCAGCCGCGGUAAUACGGAGGAUCCGAGCGUUAUCCGGAUUUAUUGGGUUUAAAGGGAGCGUAGGUGGAUUGUUAAGUCAGUUGUGAAAGUUUGCGGCUCAACCGUAAAAUUGCAGUUGAAACUGGUAGUCCUGAGUACAGUAGAGGUGGGCGGAAUUCGGGGUGUAGCGGUGAAAUGCUUAGAUAUCACGAAGAACUCCGAUGGCGAAGGCAGCUUACUGGACUGCAACUGACACUGAUGCUCGAAAGUGUGGGUAUCAAACAGGAUUAGAUACCCUUGUAGUC
rnacentral:rRNA from 1 species